rnacentral:rRNA from 1 species
CCCUUAGAUGUUCUGGGCGGCCCGCGCACUACAUUGGCACUAGCAAAGAGAUCCUAGAUUGAAUUCUUUGGGGUAUUCUUCUAAAUGGUGUCGUGACUGGGAUAAAUCCUUGUAAUUAUUGGUUUUGAACGAGGAAUUCCUUGUAAUCGCGGUUUAUCAGCUCGCGUUGAAUGCGUCCCUGCCCUUUGUACACACCGCCCGUCGCUCCUACCGAUUGGAUGGUCCGGUGAAGCCUCGGGAUUGUGGUUCUUGCCGCUUUAUUGUGGCGUGACCGCGAGAACUUGUCUAAACCUUAUCAUCUAGAGGAAGGUGAAGUCGUAACA